AGAAUCAACGCUGGCGGCGUGCCUAACACAUGCAAGUCGAACGAGUAAAGGGACUUCGGUCCCGAGUACAGUGGCGCACGGGUGAGUAACACGUGACUAACCUACCCUGGAGUGGGGAAUAACUGAGGGAAACCUUAGCUAAUACCGCAUAAUACCUACGGGUCAAAGGAGCAAUUCGCUUCAGGAGGGGUCGCGGCCGAUUAGCUAGUUGGCGGGGUAAUGGCCCACCAAGGCAAUGAUCGGUAU
rnacentral:rRNA from 1 species